AAGGCUAUUUUGGUAUGUUCUUCUUCCCUGACUGAAAGCCCAUUUUUUCUCUUCUUCUUCCCCAAAUGAAAGGCUACUUUGGUAUUUUCUUCUUCCCCAAAUGAAAGGGUGUGUCGUUGUUCUCUCAAUCCGAAAUGUUUUUGUGGUCUGUUAAUCCGAAAUCUGUUCGAAAAGGUAAGUAAUUUUAGUUGUGAAAUCUGCCCCCCAAAAAACGUAUGUUGUUGUUCCCCAAAAUAUGAGUUUGAAACUGUUUUGAGAAAAAAAGUGAGAGGGUUUCUGUAACUAAAAAUGGUUUGAAUGUGCGAAGGGUUUUGAAGAAGAAACGUUUCGCUGAAGGAUUGGGUGGCUACAAAAAGUGAAGUGGUUUUGUGUUGUUGGAUGUUAGAAAGUGAAUAUAUUGGAGCGUAAGAAGAUCUGUCGCAAAACACGUUUAGUUGACAUGAGUGACGUUAGUGAAGGUUGCGAAGGUAGUGAAGGUUGUGAAGUUGGAGAUUGUGGUGAUAUAAGUCAGUUAUGUGCUUUUGAUCACUGCCUGUUUGUGAAGAGAAAGAGUGUAGCUAUGAAAUCCAAAUUUCCAAGGUUGUUGCGUUGGAUUGAUUACAAAGUUGGAGAUGUGUCAAUAAGAAGUAGUUUCAAAAAUAAUGUGGUACUUUAGAACUGAAAAGAACAACUUACUUUCAACAAUUGACAGUUCUAAGGUAUUAUGUUACUUUCAACGUUGUAAGGUGGAAUACAAUAGCCAAGGUGAAAUUGAAGUAGUACAAGAUUCAAAUAAUGUAGAAGACAAAAAUGUAAGCAACAACAAUAUGUACGUGCGUAUGAGGAAUCAUCCAUGCUUAUGGUUCAAAAGUUGUGUAAUCCAAACUCCGUUUGCAGGGUAUGGUCCAAAGAAGAAAAUGAUACCAGAAUAGUUGUUGGAGUUGCAGCAAUAUGUGUAUGCUUUUUUUUGUUUGAUGGAAAUGAAAUAUCAUUUUGAUUUGUGUAAUUUAAGAACGGUUAAUUGUAAUGCAAAUGUAUGAAACAUGUAGUUGUGAACAAUUUGUGUUGUGUA